UGGAUAAUUCAAUACAAAUUCUAGUACUGGAUAGUUCGAUACUACUAGAUAAUUCUGCUGGAUAAUUCAAUACAAAUUCUAGUAUACUACUGGAUAAUUCUGCUGGAUAAUUCAAUACAAAUUCUACUACUGGAUAGUUCAACUACUGGAUAGUUCAAUACAAAUUCAACCAUUACAUACUUAAAAUUCAUCACAGAUCUCCUUCAACUUCUUGACCUUGUCCUUAUAGCCAUGGUUUUGUUUCAUCAUAUCAGAAAUGAUGCACUCCAUCUUUUUCUUCUCUUCCUUCAUUUGAUCUCUCUCUAGCACAAGCUGGUCCCUCUCCUUCUCUGCCUUCGCCCUGAGUACCUGAUGUAGAUUGGUGGAAGAAUG
rnacentral:lncRNA from 1 species